rnacentral:rRNA from 1 species
GCAAGUCUGGUGCCAGCAGCCGCGGUAAUUCCAGCUCCAAUAGCGUAUAUUAAAGUUGUUGCAGUUAAAAAGCUCGUAGUUGAACUUCGGGCCUGGCUGACCGGUCCGCCUCACCGCGUGCACUGGUUCGGCCGGGUCUUUCCUUCUGGCAAACCUCAUGCCCUUUACUGGGUGUGUUGGGGAACCAGGACUUUUACUUUGAAAAAAUUAGAGUGUUCAAAGCAGGCAUAUGCUCGAAUACAUUAGCAUGGAAUAAUAGAAUAGGACGUGCGGUUCUAUUUUGUUGGUUUCUAGGACCGCCGUAAUGAUUAAUAGGGAUAGUCGGGGGCAUCCGUAUUCAAUUGUCAGAGGUGAAAUUCUUGGAUUUAUUGAAGACGAACUACUGCGAAAGCAUUUGCCAA